rnacentral:rRNA from 1 species
CCCAGACUCCUACGGGAGGCAGCAGUGGGGAAUAUUGGGCAAUGGGCGCAAGCCUGACCCAGCAACGCCGCGUGAAGGAAGAAGGCUUUCGGGUUGUAAACUUCUUUUGUCAGGGACGAAGCAAGUGACGGUACCUGACGAAUAAGCCACGGCUAACUACGUGCCAGCAGCCGCGGUAAUACGUAGGUGGCAAGCGUUAUCCGGAUUUACUGGGUGUAAAGGGCGUGUAGGCGGGAAAGCAAGUCAGAUGUGAAAACCAUGGGCUCAACCUGGGGCCUGCAUUUGAAACUGUUUUUCUUGAGUACUGGAGAGGCAGACGGAAUUCCUGGGGUAGCGGUGAAAUGCGUAGAUAUUAGGAGGAACACCAGUGGCGAAGGCGGUCUGCUGGACAGCAACUGACGCUGAGGCGCGAAAGCGUGGGGAGCAAACAGGAUUAGAUACC